rnacentral:rRNA from 1 species
CAUGGCUCAGAUUGAACGCUGGCGGCAUGCCUAACACAUGCAAGUCGAACGGCAGCACAGCAGUAGCAAUACUGUGGGUGGCGAGUGGCGGACGGGUGAGUAAUGCAUCGGGAUCUACCCAAACGUGGGGGAUAACGUAGGGAAACUUACGCUAAUACCGCAUACGUCNUACGGGAGAAAGCGGGGGACCGAAAGGCCUCGCGCGGUUGGACGAACCGAUGUGCGAUUAGCUAGUUGGUAGGGUAAUGGCCUACCAAGGCGACGAUCGCUAGCUGGUCUGAGAGGAUGAUCAGCCACACUGGAACUGAGACACGGUCCAGACUCCUACGGGAGGCAGCAGUGGGGAUAUAUUGGACAAUGGGCGCAAGCCUGAUCCAGCAAUGCNGCGUGUGUGAAGAAGGCCUUCGGGUUGUAAAGCACUUUUAUCAGGAGCGAAAUACUACAGGUCUAAUAACCGGGUGGGCGUCUAACGGUACCCUAGGAAAUAAGCACCGGCUAACUUACNG